UGAGGAAUCUUGCGCAAUGGGGGCAACCCUGACGCAGCAACGCCGCGUGAGUGAGGAAGGUCUUCGGAUUGUAAAGCUCUGUCGGGUGGAGAGAAGUGUAAUGAGGUGAACAGCUUCAUUGCUUGACGGUACCACCAAAGGAAGCACCGGCUAACUCCGUGCCAGCAGCCGCGGUAAUACGGGGGGUGCAAGCGUUGUUCGGAAUCAUUGGGCGUAAAGAGCGUGUAGGCGGCGUAGUAAGUCAGAUGUGAAAGCCCUGGGCUCAACCUAGGAAGUGCAUUUGAAACUGUUAUGCUUGAGUAGGGGAGAGGGAAGUGGAAUUCCUGGUGUAGAGGUGAAAUUCGUAGAUAUCAGGAGGAACACCGGUGGCGAAGGCGACUUCCUGGCCCUAUACUGACGCUGAGACGCGAGAGCGUGGGUAGCAAACAGG
rnacentral:rRNA from 1 species